UAGCGACGCUCUGGAAAGUGCUUCCAAAUCGGGGGCCACCGAAGGGGUAACCUCGCGCCUUUCUGAUGAGAGCGCACGGGGGAAAGCUCUCAGGUUUCCGUGACAGAGGGGGCCGU
rnacentral:ncRNA from 1 species